rnacentral:rRNA from 1 species
AACGAACGCUGGCGGCAGGCUUAACACAUGCAAGUCGAGCGCACCGCAAGGGGAGCGGCAGACGGGUGAGUAACGCGUGGGAAUCUACCCAUCUCUACGGAAUAACGCAUGGAAACGUGUGCUAAUACCGUAUACGUCCCUCGGGAGAAAGAGUUAUCGGAGAUGGAUGAGCCCGCGUUGGAUUAGCCAGUUGGUGGGGUAAAGGCCUACCAAGGCGACGAUCCAUAGCUGGUCUGAGAGAAUGAUCAGCCACACUGGGACUGAGACACGGCCCAGACUCGUACGGGAGGCAGCAGUGGGGAAAAUUGGACGAUGGGCGCAAGCCUGAUCCAGCCAUGCCGCGUGAGUGAUGAAGGCCAUAGGGUUGUAAAGCUCUUUCACCGGUGAAGAUAAUGACGGUACCCGCAGAAGAAGCCCCGGCUAACUUCGUGCCAGCCGCCGCGGUAACAC